UACGUAGGGUGCAAGCGUUGUCCGGAAUUACUGGGCGUAAAGAGCUCGUAGGUGGUUUGUCGCGUUGUUCGUGAAACUCACAGCUCAACUGUGGGCGUGCGGCGAUACGGGCAGACUAGAGUACUGCAGGGAGACUGGAAGUUCCUGGUGAUAGCGGUGGAAUACGGCAGAUAUCAGGAGGAACACCGGUGGCGAAGGCGGGUCUCUGGGCAGUAACUGACGCUGAGGAGCGAAAGCGUGGGAGCGAACAGG
rnacentral:rRNA from 1 species